rnacentral:lncRNA from 1 species
GAGCUGCUAAGCCUCCUUUGUGUGGCCUGUCUGAGGGAGCUGACAGGAGGGAGUGGUGGAGGAACGAAGUUUGGAUGCCUUGCUGCAGUAGUUAGCUCAGGAGACCCUGAGUCCUGAAGGGCUGGAUGGACACAGGGUCGACACAGUAAGAACAAGGGUUCUCUCUUGUAAGAACCGGGGACUCCCUGCGAGUCUACAGUUCCUCCAGUCAAUAAACAGGAUGGAGUGCCGACACCAGAGUCAGCGCAAGAGGACAGAUGGAUGUCCAUGGGACAUUUCCUCAUGUUGCAGAGACAUUUGGAUGGCUGUGUGGUACGGGAAGCCAGACAGGAGGUGGGGGUGGGGUGGGGGCAGAAUCAUUUGAGAAUAAAUCAUGGGCACUUCACUGCCUUAAGCUUCGAGAGUUAUCAAGGCAGGACUGGGGCAUUGCCAAGGCUUUAGAGUGUUCACGUAACGUGCUCAAAGCCCUGAUCACCUAAGCCUGGGUAUGGUGGCACAUGCCAGGAACCCCAGCUCUUUGGAAGUGGAAGGAGGAAGACUCACACUUCAUGGUCAUUCUUCGAUACAUACGAAUUCAAUUAGGGCCAACCUGGGCUACAGGAGACCAUGUGUCCAAAAUAAAUUACUGCCUAAGUAACGAAAUACACGUUGUUUGCAGAGCGAUGGCUGAGUGGCUUGAGCUUGGGCACAAAGCCACCCACCGGGAAGGCAGAGCCCCCAGGCUGAGGGCUGCAGCAGGGCGUCCCAAGUUGUUCUGCUACAUCCCACACUGAGAGCCAUUUCUCUGCUACAUCAACGCUUCUGCAGCCAAGUGCACGUUGUGAGGCUCGUCUUGCUGGCUUCCUAAUGGCCCCAUCAGUGGCUGGCCUGAAGAGAGAAGGACUUACUCACAUUGGACGGAUUUCUGCCUUCAUUCCUGUCCAGCUGCUGCGUAUGCUGACCUUCUGUAUGUAACCAAGUACCUCAGCCGGGAUGGACCCACGGACAGCAUCUUAUCAUCUCCCUGGGGAGGCUGAGCAAAGCCAAGAUGAGGGCACCAAUAGGCUGGUUGCUGGUAGUCUGUGGGAUUCCUUGACCUUUAAGAGUUGCUGGAUAAUCUCUGUCUUCAUUUAUUUUAUUUUAUUUUUUUAGAUUCUUGUGUAGUCCAGACUGGCCUUGAACUCCUUAUCUAGUCAGUGCAAGAUUUAUUUAAUUAACAAACAUAAUUACAGUUGGGUGGUAUAACAGGGCUUUAACUGACAUCUCUGAAGAGGAAAACUGGGGGCAGCUACCUUUAAAAAUAUUAAAAUUUAAGACAGUGAUUGUUUGUCAGACACACAUAUGACCAAAUUAUCCCCUGAAUUUAGGAAUGGACACAAUAUGUUUGUUUGCUUGCUUGUUUGUAGUUUUUGAGUCAAAGUCUUAUUCUCAAGCUUCAGACAUUGAACUUGUAAUUUUCUGCCUCAGUCUCCAUAGAACUGGGGCUCCAGGCAUUUACCACAACACCUGGCCAGUAUACAUACUUAAUACCUGUUAGAAAUAUUCUUUUCAGCUUAUUGGGAAAGUUAUAAUUCAUUUAGAAGAUGGUUGGUGUAAAAAUAGGGUGGACCUAAAAAACAAGUAAAUGCUCAUAUAAUAUAUUCAACUGAAACCUAAUGAAAAAUUUGUAUGACUUUGAAAUAGAGGCGAUUUUUAAAAAAAAAAAGUUUUAUUUAUACUUAUCAAUUCAUCUAGAGGGAGCAGGGCAUAUGUGUCACUGUGCACACAUGGAGAUCAAAGAGAAACUAUUGCUGUCAGCUCUUUUCUUCUACCAUGAGGUCUCUGAGACUCGAACUCAGGUCUUCAUACUUUGAGGCAAGAGACUUUACCC